rnacentral:rRNA from 1 species
AUUGAUUUGGCGUGGAGCAACUCUGACCGCCUGCCGCGUGAGUGAUGAAGGCCUUCGGGUUGUAAAGCUCUUUGAGUGGGGACAAUCAUGAUGGUACCCACAGAACAAGCCCCGGCUAACUCUGUGCCAGCAGCCGCGGUAAUACAGAGGGGGCUAGCGUUGUUCGGAAUUACUGGGCGUAAAGCGUAUGUAGGCGGCUUACCAAGUUGGAAGUGAAAUCCCAGGGCUUAACCCUGGAAUUGCUUUCAAUACUAGUAGGCUGGAGAGUGGCAGAGGAUAGUAGAAUUCCUAGUGUAGGAGUGAAAUCCGUAGAUAUUAGGAGGAAUACCAGUGGCGAAGGCGGCUAUCUGGGCCAUUUCUGACGCUGAGAUACGAAA